GACGAACGCUGGCGGCGUGCUUAACACAUGCAAGUCGAACGGAAAGGCCAGUGCUUGCACUGGUGCUCGAGUGGCGAACGGGUGAGUAACACGUGGGUGAUCUGCCUUGCACUCUGGGAUAAGCUUGGGAAACUGGGUCUAAUACCGGAUAGGAACCGUCUUUAGUGUGGUGGUUGGAAAGUUUUUUCGGUGCAAGAUGAGCUCGCGGCCUAUCAGCUUGUUGGUGGGGUAAUGGCCUACCAAGGCGUCGACGGGUAGCCGGCCUGAGAGGGUGUACGGCCGGAAUUGGAUCUGAAGAGAGGCCGAGCCCCCGACGGGGGCGGGAGGGGGGAAAGUUUGACAAAGGGGCGGAGGCGGAGUGAGGCCGCGCGGGGGGGGGUAUGACGCCGUUGGGGUUGAAGACCCAUUGCGUAAGGAACAAUGCUUUUUGUGACGGUACCUAAUAAGAAAGCCCGGGCUAACUACGUG
rnacentral:rRNA from 1 species